rnacentral:rRNA from 1 species
GCUAUCAGGCGUCGAGCGGCGGACGGGUGAGUAAUACUUAGGAAUCUACCUAGUAGUGGGGGAUAGCACGGGGAAACUCGUAUUAAUACCGCAUACGACCUACGGGAGAAAGGGGGCAGUUUACUGCUCUCGCUAUUAGAUGAGCCUAAGUCGGAUUAGCUAGAUGGUGGGGUAAAGGCCUACCAUGGCGACGAUCUGUAGCUGGUCUGAGAGGAUGAUCAGCCACACCGGGACUGAGACACGGCCCGGACUCCUACGGGAGGCAGCAGUGGGGAAUAUUGGACAAUGGGGGGAACCCUGAUCCAGCCAUGCCGCGUGUGUGAAGAAGGCCUUUUGGUUGUAAAGCACUUUAAGCAGUGAAGAAGACUCCGUGGUUAAUACCCACGGACGAUGACAUUAGCUGCAGAAUAAGCACCGGCUAACUCUGUGCCAGCAGCCGCGGUAAUACAGAGGGUGCAAGCGUUAAUCGGAAUUACUGGGCGUAAAGGGAGCGUAGGUGGCUCUAUAAGUCAGAUGUGAAAUCCCCGGGCUCAACCUGGGAACUGCAUCUGAAACUGUAGAGCUAGAGUAUGUGAGAGGAAGGUAGAAUUCCAGGUGUAGCGGUGAAAU